rnacentral:rRNA from 1 species
UGGGGAAUUUUGGACAAUGGGGGAAACCCUGAUCCAGCCAUCCCGCGUGUGCGAUGAAGGCCUUCGGGUUGUAAAGCACUUUUGGCAGGAAAGAGACGUCAUGGGUUAAUACCCCGUGAAACUGACGGUACCUGCAGAAUAAGCACCGGCUAACUACGUGCCAGCAGCCGCGGUAAUACGUAGGGUGCAAGCGUUAAUCGGAAUUACUGGGCGUAAAGCGUGCGCAGGCGGUUCGGAAAGAAAGAUGUGAAAUCCCAGAGCUCAACUUUGGAACUGCAUUUUUAACUACCGGGCUAGAGUGUGUCAGAGGGAGGUGGAAUUCCGCGUGUAGCAGUGAAAUGCGUAGAUAUGCGGAGGAACACCGAUGGCGAAGGCAGCCUCCUGGGAUAACACUGACGCUCAUGCACGAAAGCGUGGGGAGCAAACAGG